AAAAAGUGCAAAAAUGGUGGAAUGCUGACGCUGUGAAGAAAAUUCACAAUUUUCGGUGGAAAAUGGCAAUGUUAUGUUUUCUCUUCUUGCCGGACUUGAAUCAACACCAAAGUAUUCCGGAAAAUACUAAAUAUCAUCAAGGCAACGACAUCAGUUGUGCAUAAUCUUCUGUUGAGGUGAAAAAGGAAGAUGUUGGAGCUGCUGCGGUGCAGCAACCGGAAGCAGCUGUUAAGGAGAAUGGUGUACAAAAGCAGAAAGGUCAAGAGCAAAAGCCGGAGGCAACAGGACCAGCAAGUUGAGGAAGGUGGAGAACCCAAUAAGGUGAAGGAAGCUGCUCUGGAGGCAAUUGAAACGCCUUCUAUGCCUGAAAAGCAGGAAGAGAAGAAGCCAAAAUCGACUGUUAUUGGUAACGACAAUUGAGGAGAACCUUUAGCAAUUGGGUAUGCAGCAAACAAUUCUGGACAGGCAGAAUUCUCUGAGCACAAUUUUUGUCAACUACUUCAAGGCGACUCUCUACCAUCGUGUGAGAGGUGUCACCUUUCGACGUGUCCUGGCAGAGCAGGGCUUCGACAUGACAAAGUUGCAGAACAUCUGACGGAAGGAGAAACUCGGUGAUAUUAAAGAUGUCAUUGUGGAGCUGCGGGAACUCAAGGAGGAUGACAAGGAGUUAACGGAUCUCCUUGAUUGUCAUUUUGAUCCGGAGUAGCAGCCAAUUAGGUCAGUGGAAGACAAACAAGAGACGCUUCCAGAGCAGACUAACUUCGAGGAUUUUACCGAGGAAGCAAAAAUCGUCAUUAAAAAGGGCAACAAUCAUCAGGGUGGUCGCAAUUAAUGUGGAACCGCAAUUAAUGUGCCGUGCCGGGUGAUAAACACUGAAAGUAACGCGGAAUGACAAAAAAGAUUUAAUGAGCAAAUAUCUGGAAAGCCAGCCACCUAGAUUAGGAAAACUUACGAGAAAGUAAGGAUGUCUGCCUAGACAGAGUCAGUAGCGUAUACUGCAAAAAAAACCUUCCAAAAGCCAAGGCUGCUCGAGAACGGCGCCCCCCAGUACCCCCCCAGUGGAGGAGGAGGACGCAGAAUACGUGGAGUGUGGAUAAAUAAAAAAAAAGUGAAAAAAAAGAAAAUCUUUUAUUUAACAUAUUGUAUGACUAUCAUACAACAUGUAGUAUAAAUUGUCAAUCAACACGUUAUGAAACCAUCAUACAACAUGUUAUAUGUCUGUCAAUUAACAUGUUGUAUGACUAUCAUUAGACACGUUAAUUGACAUUUACGUGUCGUGUCUAAUUACAAUCAUACAACAUGUCCAUUGACAAUUGUACAACAGUUAAUAUAACAGUUUAAUGACAUAUUGAUUGACAUUCAUACUACGUAUUGUAUGACAGUCAUACAAAAUGUUGUAACCGGAAGUAAAACAAACCUAUAAACAUGUUGUAAGAAAGUCAUAUGACGCACAUGCAAAAUUGUCUAAUGUUGUCAUAUAACAGUCAUAUGACAAAUCAUAUGAGAUUCUGUGACGGAAGCAAUGUAAAUGUCUCUGAAAAAGUUGUACUUUGUCAGGUAGACAAAAAUCAAACAUGUCCGAUAUUUGUCCAGUAACAUACCCAACAUGUCGUAUGACAAAUAUUAACGAUAUCAUAUGACAUGCGGUAGC